UUAGGAGUUAAAGCAAAGAGAUGCUUCCUUUAAAAUCUUAAAGGCCCCACGUAUCAGGUACUCCAGGCCAAAAAUUAUUUGCGGUGCUGAUGUGGAUCUCCUCCCUAUCUGAAUAUACAAAGUAUUAUAUGUUAUAUUGACAUUCGGGCUAAAUCUUUCCCUUAUAAGGGGUUUGACAUAAAUAGCUUUUAUUAUGUAACUCUUCAAUACAAGGGAUACAACGCAUUUCUUAAAGGUCCCAGCUGCUAUUGUUAUCGUUCGAGACAUAAAACUGGAAUCCCAACUUCCAAUAUCAAGUUUGAGCGCAAACCCUAUAAAAUCUAUCUUGUCAGAAUGUGCCAGAACCUCUAAGCCCUUCUCAGCUCAACAAAUUGCAGCUGCCGCUCUGCCCUCGAGGGAGAGCCUCGACUUUGCGUGUGGCGCAUUCACAGCAAACCGGUCCUGGUUCUCGCCCUGCCGCCGGGGCUGGCCGGGGGAAGGCGUAGGUUUAGAUUAGCCGUGUCCUCCGCCGCUUGACAGGGUGACACGGGUCUGCAGGGCCGAGCCCGGGGCCUGGAGAUAGGACCAGCCAGCAGGAAUGCAGGGAAUGUUUUUCUUCGGACUCUAUCGAGGCACACAGACCGUGGGGAUUCUGUCUGUGGUGACAGCCUUAACAUUUACCAGAGCCUGGGACGCCGCUGUAGAAAUGGCAUUGCCCACCCCGAAAGUGAGAAGGUGCAGACUUCUUCUGUGAGCUUCCUCUUGUCUAACUGGACACGGCAGAGGCUUGGCUGUUGGUAACUCGCGCGCUGGAGACGCUGUGUGGAUGGUGGGCCAGCCCUGGUCUGGGGAUGCAGCAUCGAGACGCAAGUUGCGGGAGGUCAGAGAUUUGCCCGUGUCGUUCGCUGCUGUAUCCCCUGCGUGGAGAACAGUGCCUGUCACGUCCGGCCUUAGUACAUAGUUUUGAAUGGACGGUUCCUGACGAGUGGGGGAUCUGAAAACCACCACAUUUCUUCCUAUUGUAAAGGUGGACUCCAUCCAUAUCUCUGACUCUUCUGUGCCUCCCUGGGGGUCCCAGCUUGGUGGGAGCCCAGUGUUGAACUGACCCUCAGCCGCCGCUGACCCACUGCAGCAAGAGCAGGAAGCCCAAACGGGGAGCCAGGGAAAGACCCCAGGGAUGCCGAGCGCCUCGGACAACGGCAUUCCUCCCUUCUCAUACCCAGGUCUUGUACGCUCACAAGAAUUUGCAGGACACCGUGCCGUGCGGGUGCUGUGCUGGCCCAGGGUGCCUGGUAAGGACAGCCAACACUGACAGGGCCCCCCGGGAGCCGUCAGGAGCGGGCGCGUCUGAAGAACGUCACCUCUGCUAACUGCUGCAACGCCCUCACCUGCCCCCUGAGCUCCCAGCCCUGGCUGUCCCCAGGGCACCGAGGUGUGUGGCCAGAGUUCCACCUCCAGCACACACAGAGUGGCCGGUGAGCGCCGCCUCGCCUCAGCAGCUCCGCAGACUGCCUCCCAGGGAGAAGCAGGCCUUUGUGGGAGACGAUGGGCUCCCUUUAAGGAAGAGACCCCGGGAGCCUUAAGACAUGCUGCUACCCGGGCCGCCCGGACGUUCUGAUCUCACUGGUCUGGGCGGGACCCGGGAUCAGUCUGGGUUUUGUGUUUGUUUUUGGAUCAACUCGGGUGAUUCUCUAACCCUUUGCCACUCAGCAGGCGUCCCUGUCGCAAGAGUCCCGCUGGGUUUAACGCCCAGUGUCACUGUCUUGAAAUUCAUCACUGUUGAGCGGGGAGGGGCCUGGGGCUUCCUUUCGGCCCUGGGCCCCCGGGGGCUUAUGCAGCCCCGCCUGGAGGGUUCUUCCUCCCACAGACCCAGGCUCCCAACUCACCACCUGAGGCCGGCCUGGGCUUUCUGGAUGUUGUAAAAUACAGAUGGCGGCUUGUGGCGGCCCAGGUUAUAUAACACGAGGUAAUCAAUCCGACGAGUAAACACAGCGCAGACAAUCAAAACCAGCCACAGUGCGAAACUGGGCAGAAGGCUGAGAGGCCGUGAGAGGCGGGGACAGGACCGAGGGCGGGACCAAGGACAGGACCGAGGGCCGCACCUCACCUGGGGCCUGACCCCCGCCCUCAGGGUUUGCUCCUUCACAGGGCUGAUGGCGUUGCACCUCACCGAUGCCUCCCCUCGCCUCUCCCUGCCCGGAUGGUCUCUCUCCCUCCUCUGCUCCGCCAAGCUCCCCAUUCCCUAUAACCACCCAUGGUGGCGGUGGUGGGAGGGCUGCUGGAUGGUCCCCCAAAGUAUGUCUACAUUCUAAUCCCUGCACCCUGUGGAUGGGGCCUUGUUUGGAGAAAGGGUCUUUGCAGAUGUGAUUAGGUUAAGAAUUGCAGAGGAGACCAUCCUGAAUGCUCUCCCUAGACCAGAGGGGAGGAGAGGCUGUGGAGGACAGGGACAGAAGAGGAGGGACUCGGUCACAAGCUGAGGGACGCCUGGGCCCCUAGGAAUUGGAAGAGGCGGGAAGGAUCCUCCCCUCCAGCCUUUGGAGCGAGGCCCUGUGACACCGUGAAUUGGGGCCUUCGGGCCUCCCAAACCGGGAGAGAAUAAAUUGUUGUUGCUCUAA